GUGCUCAAUUCUGCAGCACGUAUACUAAAAUUGGAACGAUACAGAGAAGAUUAGCAUGGCCCCUGCGCAAGGAUGACACGCAUAUUUGUGAAGCAUUUCAAAAUAUG
rnacentral:snRNA from 1 species